AGAGCAGGUGAUGAUAGAACAGACAGGGACAUCAGUACUCCUCUGGAGGAUGUUGACUCGUCUUGGGAAUCUCUCUGAUGCUCA